rnacentral:lncRNA from 1 species
UUUUUUUAUUUUAAUAAGGGUUUUUUAGGAUUUAGUGUUUAGGGUUUAAAAAUACUACUCAAAACUUAAAAAAUAUUUAUUUUUUUUUUUUUUCAAAUAUAUCCAUGUUCUCCUGUUAUUCAAAAAUAUUUCUGUAGUUACCAUUCGUUAAGUUAAUUUAAAUUAAAUAUGAGUUAAAUAUCUAUCAGAGUUUAAAAAAAAAUAAUUUUUUUUUCAUGCUUUUUGUAGAAACCAAACAACCUCUAAACCGGCACUUAAA